rnacentral:rRNA from 1 species
UAGGGAAUCUUCGGCAAUGGACGGAAGUCUGACCGAGCAACGCCGCGUGAGUGAAGAAGGUUUUCGGAUCGUAAAGCUCUGUUGUUAGAGAAGAACGUUGGUAGGAGCGGAAAAUCUACCAAGUGACGGUAACUAACCAGAAAGGGACGGCUAACAACGUGCCAGCAGCUGCGGUAAUACGUAGGACUUGAGUGUUGUCCGGAACUAUUGGGCGUAAAGCGAGCGCAGGCGGUUCUUUAAGUCUGAAGUUAAAGGCAGUGGCUUGGCCAUUUUACGCUUUGUAAACUUGAGGACUUGAGUGCAGAAGGGCAGAGUUGCAUUCCAUGUGUAGCGGUGGAAUGCGUAGUUAUAUGGAUGCACACCGGUGGAGUAAGCGUCUCUCUGGUCUGUAACUGACGCUGAUGCUCGAAAGGGUGGGUAGCUAACAGG